rnacentral:rRNA from 1 species
GGCGAUGGUACAUUCCCAUCAAAAUGGGCUGAAGGGACGCCGUGGGUACUUGACAAUUGGUACUUCAAGGGAUUCGGGAAGCCAUGGACUUACGAAAUACGCCCCAACUACGAAUUCCCAGAUAUCGGAGAGAAGAAAC